UAACAGGGAGUGGGGCCAAAUUGUCUGUUCAAGGGUGUGUGGGGAGUGUGCGGGGCACCAGGAAGGUGGAGGGGAGUUUUCUACAGUCUAUCAAAUACAGAAAAUAUCAACGAAAACUGAAGCCGAAGCAUCAUCACAACAGAAUUCUGAGGGGGUUAUUAUGGGCAUCAAGUUUAUUUCUUUUUUCCGACACCCAGAAACUGCGGGAUUGAGUUUGACAUCAAGGUUUCAUCUGUUCCAGUAACUGCUUUGGAUUAAGUCAAAGAUGCAGUACUUGCAGGAUCAGCUGACUUUAUGCGGUGCCUCCAUUCUUGAAGCUCAACAGCAGACCUAAGAUCGACAUUUAAACUUUUCUCCAAAUCUUUUGGCCAUUACAUGACCAAGACCACAUCUGAUCAGGAACUAUAAAUACGAAUUCAAUUGAUUCUUCUUUAUAUCACUUUAUAUCAAGGGUGCCCAUAACAUCAGUGUAUUCAGUUUUCCAUCAAGUAGGAUGAAAGCGAAAUGUUCAUUGCAUGUGUUUAUUAAAAGGCAAAAGCAUGUGAAUUAUGAAGGUUGACUGAGGCUGAGAUUAGAGGGUGUGACAUCCUGUAUUGAACAUUCGAUAUGUUACGAAAGUCAGAAAGCAAGCAGCUGGGAUAAAUAUGAACGUGAUUCAAGGACAGGGACUAUAAGAGAGUAAUGAAUCUUUACACACAACAUGGAUCCACUCCAUACUCCAUACUCCAAUGAUUUUUAUUUUCUUAUUUAGCUUAAAUUCAUUCAGCAAUCUUUAAAAGUGAGCCAGAAAAUCUGUAUUCUAUUAAAUCUUUCCUGCUGAGCAGAAAAUUUCUUUUUAAAAAAUAAAAAAAAAUGGAGGGGAUGCUUGAAGAAGGAAACAAGUCACAGCAGUAAAGGGCCCUUACCCCUUUCUCUGAAGAGCACUCCAGAUAACAAGUGGCUCACUGUCAAAUAGCACGUUACCUCAUUUUUCCAAUCGUCUACUCAUUUAUUCCUUCUAAGCUUAAUCCCACGUUCUCCCUCAUGAUGGGAGGAAAAACUAAAGAAAGCAAUACGAAAUAAAAAAAUGAUAAUAUUAAUGUUCAACUAUUUUAUUUUUCUUAGGUUGAACAUGCUGCCAGCACCAACUUCCCUAAGCGUCUGCCACAUGAAUUAGCCGUCUAUACAAGACAAAUUACUUCUAUUCCGUCUAUUCAACAUCCUGCACCUUCUGGCUAGUUUCCACUCCAGCCUUUGUCUUUUUAAACGUCUUUACACGGUGUUUUGAGCAAGGGCCAUUGUUCCCUGAACAUACGCUUUUAUUUGCAACUCCAGGAAUCAGUAAAUUCAGGGAAGAGACUUUUAUGCUAAGCUCUAAAUGUUUUCUUCACAUUCUUGCUGAAAUCAUGUCAUCCAAAUUUCCAUUCAGCCCACAAACACGUGGAGACUUGGCCAAAACGGAGACUUUCCUCAGACCUGCUGGAACUCGGACCUCUCAACUUUGACCUGGAACAGAAGUCAUCAGGCCCCAUGCGAAACCCCCCGGAUCACCCUGUGACGAUGAUUACACCCUUUACUCCUGUGUUACUGUCCGUAUGUUGUUUUAUAUCACUGUAUUCGUGCCAUAUAAAUGGAGAUCAUAAUAGUCACUCAUGCUGAGACAGGAUCAGCGCCCUCAUUGGCUAGAUAACAUUGGGAAAUGAAAGCCAAAAACUGAUCCCAGUUAGCAUAGUCUCUUCAUUUCUAUACCUAUGACUUCAGACGUAUGCGCCUCUGUAGAAUGUGCCGUGAGGCACUGAUACAGAUGAAAUAUCCUUUAAAAAAAAAAAAUACUUGUUUUAUUUCAAAAAGGUAAACUGUGUAAAACUGUGUGUAGUGUGGAUUAUGUCUGUGAAAUGUGUGAAAGGUAGAAGAGAAAAAAAAAAAAGAGACUACAUCAUAACUAAUGCUUUAGACAUUACUGCUGAUCUCCACCACAGAUGGAACAGGUUGGGCAAGGACAAGUGAAGGCUUACUCAAACCAACUGUGUUUCUGAACAUCAGAAUGUGCCAUCAGCUGUAGUCGAAGCCAACAAACCUGUUCAGACUGUGGUGCUGGGAAACGAAAACAAAAAAACAAGCAAAAACCCUAUUUAAAUGAUCGGACUAUUGCACAUGUAUGAACUUUCCAUGGCACUAUCCUUUAGAACAUAUAUUUCCAGCCCUGGUUUUGGAAUACCUCAUGUCCUGCACAUUUUAGUGUUUUCCCUGGUCCCGACACUUCCGAUUCAACUAGUCAGCUGAUAGAGAGCUCUACGUUGACAUGGGUGAGCAAGCAAAACAUCAAAUUGUGCAGGACAGGGGUUUUCUGCAAAUCCACGGCAAGUGUCAUGCUGCCCUCUAGAGGCUUCGAGGACAAUUAAAAGCCUUUGUUUUGACCAGCACUAUUAAAGAAUCCGGAAAAGUAGUGAUCUGUUACUAAGCCAAUCCGACAUUAAGUCACUGCUGAUCUCGGAUAUCAGAGCAUUUCAUUGCAUGGAAAUUAUCUGAUCAAUAAGUGGGCAAUUUAAUGGAGAACACAGUCUGGCAAUAAGAUCAAGGCACAUGUACAACCGAGCUGAAAUCCAGACCACGAAACACAGCAGGUUUCAGAUCCAUCGAGUUUUAGUGUCCUUAAGAACUAAUAUAUAGCUAAAGUUCCCGUAGAAUGCAGGUAACAGUCAUUUACUGUUGAGAUGUCUAUUCUAGCAACUAUUAAUUCAAUUUCAGGGUUUAACCAUUUUAUUCUAUUCAAGUCCUUGUCUUGUGUAAGCUUGUCUUUAAAUGUCUAAGAUCAUAUUGGUCUUCAUGUGGUCAAGUAGGAGUUCUGGUGGACAAAAUGGCCACUGUUCUCGUCAAUGAAAAUGUCUUUGUGGUUACUGAACUUCCAUUUUCGAACUUUUUUUUCUCUCUCUCUCUUGCUGUGUUAGCAUUUUAUAUGUUUAACCAGUGUUCAACAGACACCUGGAAAGGAAGAUUCUGACUGUAGUGCUUGUUUAAUAAACAGUUGCUUACUUUU